AUCGAACGUUGGCGGCAGGCUUAACACAUGCAAGUCGAGCGGGGGAAGGUAGCUUGCUACCGGACCUAGAGGCGGACGGGUGAGUAAUGCUUAGGAAUCUGCCUAUUAGUGGGGGACAACAUCUCGAAAGGGAAGCUAAUAUCGCAUACGCUCUACGGUAGAAAGCAGGGGAUCUUCGGAUCUUGCUCUAUUAGAUGCGCCUAAGUCGGAUCAGCUAGUUGGUGGGGUAAAGGCCUACCAAGGCGACGAUCUGUAGCGGGUCUGAGAGGAUGAUCCGCCACACUGGGACUGAGUCACGGCCCAGACUCCUACGGGAGGCAGCAGUGGGGAAUAUUGGACAAUGGGGGGAACCCUGAUCCAGCCAUGCCGCGUGUGAGAAGAAGGCCUUAUGGUUGUAAAGCACUUUAAGCGAGGAGGAGGCUACUCUAGUUAAUACCUAGGGAUAGUAGACGUUACUCGCAGAAUAAGCACCGGCUAACUCUGUGCCAGCCGCCGCCGUAA
rnacentral:rRNA from 1 species